GUGUACCUCGCCGGCAGGAAGGGCUUCCUUCCGGUCGACGAGGUACAUGUACCUCGACGGCUGGAAGGAAACCCUUCCAGCUGGCGAGGUACAU
rnacentral:miRNA from 1 species